UUCCAGACUCCUACGGGAGGCAGCAGUGAGGAAUAUUGGUCAAUGGGCGAGAGCCUGAACCAGCCAAGUCGCGUGAGGGAGUACUGCCCUAUGGGUUGUAAACCUCUUUUGUCGGGGAGCAAAAGCCGGACGUGUCCGGCUGUGAGAGUACCCGAAGAAAAAGCAUCGGCUAACUCCGUGCCAGCAGCCGCGGUAAUACGGAGGAUGCGAGCGUUAUCCGGAUUUAUUGGGUUUAAAGGGUGCGUAGGCGGGAUGCCAAGUCAGCGGUAAAAAUGCGGUGCUCAACGCCGUCGAGCCGUUGAAACUGGCGUUCUUGAGUGGGCGAGAAGUAUGCGGAAUGCGUGGUGUAGCGGUGAAAUGCAUAGAUAUCACGCAGAACUCCGAUUGCGAAGGCAGCAUACCGGCGCCCUACUGACGCUGAGGCACGAAAGUGCGGGGAUCGAACAGGAUUAGAUACCCCAGUA
rnacentral:rRNA from 1 species